UACGGGGGGGGCAAGCGUUGUUCGGAAUUACUGGGCGUAAAGGGCUCGUAGGUGGCCAACUAAGUCAGACGUGAAAUCCCUCGGCUUAACCGGGGAACUGCGUCUGAUACUGGAUGGCUUGAGAUUGGGAGAGGGAUGCGGAAUUCCAGGUGUAGCGGUGAAAUGCGUAGAUAUCUGGAGGAACACCGGUGGCGUAGGCGGCAUCCUGGACCAACACUGACACUGAGGAGCGAAAGCCAGGGGAGCAAACGGG
rnacentral:rRNA from 1 species